rnacentral:rRNA from 1 species
UGGGGAAUAUUGGACAAUGGGGGAAACCCUGAUCCAGCGAUGCCGCGUGGGUGAAGAAGGCCUUCGGGUUGUAAAGCCCUUUAGGUCGGGAAGAAGUUUGAUAGGUUAAUACCCUGUCAGAUUGACGGUACCGACAGAAUAAGCACCGGCAAACUCUGUGCCAGCAGCCGCGGUAAUACAGAGGGUGCGAGCGUUAAUCGGAUUAACUGGGCGUAAAGGGCGCGUAGGCGGUUAUAUGUGUGGGAUGUGAAAGCCCCGGGCUUAACCUGGGAAGUGCAUACCAAACUAUAUGACUGGAGUAUAUGAGAGGGUGGCGGAAUUUCCGGUGUAGCGGUGAAAUGCGUAGAGAUCGGAAGGAACGUCAAUGGCGAAGGCAGCCACCUGGCAUAAUACUGACGCU